GACAGAGGGUGCAAACGUUGUUCGGAAUUACUGGGCGUAAAGGGCGCGUAGGCGGCCUUCUAAGUCGAACGUGAAAUCCCCGGGCUCAACCCGGGAACUGCGUCCGAUACUGGAAGGCUUGAAUCCGGGAGAGGGAUGCGGAAUUCCAGGUGUAGCGGUGAAAUGCGUAGAUAUCUGGAGGAACACCGGUGGCGAAGGCGGUCUGCUGGGCAGUAGCUGACACUGAGGCGCGACAGCGUGGGGAGCAAACAGG
rnacentral:rRNA from 1 species